CGGAAAUGGGCAAGAGGCACAACCAGCAGUGGCUACGACUUCACCCUAACCCACAAACAGGCCUGCUAUCACGGAUGCGCCAGCUGCCACUAAUGCGAUAUUUACGCACCAGUAAACGCAGCAGGUUUCCACGCCACCUGUUUUUGGACGGAAGUUGUUCCUUUGCCUGGCAGCGAAAAGGGUUUUAAUCUCUCCCUGGUUACUUGGAUACAGCUGGGAGAGCUGCUCACCAGCCAGGCUGUAAAGAAAGAAGCAAAGUUAUCCAGAAACAAGAAGCAGAAGUGGCAGUCAUAAGGGAAUGAUGUGUUUUUGCUUCUUUGGAAGAAGAUCAAAGUUCAAACUCAGGAGGGCAUGUUGAUGCAUGUUGCAAAGUGAUCCAAGGCUACAACAUAGAGAUCGAGUUUAAGCAAAGAGGACAGCUCGGUGAAGCAUGUAAGAGUAAAACCUGUGACCCUUGUGCUCAUCACAGCAAUGUCAGAAACCAGGUAUUCCUGAAUUAUUAGCCUCUUCAGUGGGCUGGUGAGCUGUGGGCCUGCUUACCUACAGCCGAUACGCUCCUGGUCUGUCUUUGUGAUUGCAUUAAGUCCAGAUGAGUCUCCAAUGUCACUGCUGGCUAUUGUGGGCACAGUCUGUCUGCUGGAUAACCUUCUAAAAUACAGAAUGUGUCUGCCCUUUACAAAAAAAAUAAGCGAUCAGGGCAGUGUUUGGCUUGUGCCCAUUGAGUUACAUCAUUUAUUUGUCUAGGAUAUGUCCUCUGGUUAAUUGUGGGCAGUGCCAGGAGGUGGACGGCUGACAUUCUGCCCA